AAAGGGUGCGUAGGCGGCCUGUUAAGUCAGGGGUGAAAGACGGUAGCUCAACUAUCGCAGUGCCCUUGAUACUGACGGGCUUGAAUGGACUAGAGGUAGGCGGAAUGUGACAAGUAGCGGUGAAAUGCAUAGAUAUGUCACAGAACACCGAUUGCGAAGGCAGCUUACUAUGGUUUUAUUGACGCUGAGGCACGAAAGCGUGGGGAUCAAACAGGAUUAGAUACCCGGGU
rnacentral:rRNA from 1 species